CGCAAGGCGGAUGCAUCAUUCGUAAGACCCGAAGCCAGGCGAGCUUACCAUGACCAGGGUGAACCCCGACGAAAGUCGGCCGGAGGCCCGAACCCGUAGAUCGUUCAACUUCUUGGGAUGAGUUGUGGUAAGAAGUGAAAAGCUUACCGAGCCUGGUGAUAGCUGGUUCUCCCCGAAAUAGCUUUAGGGCUAGCCUUUAUCAAACAUUUUGGAGGUAGAGCGCUGGAAAGAAUGUCCUUGACGCAAGUCAGGUAUUCUUACCAAACUUCGAAUGCCAAAGUGAAAAAGAUAAAGAGUUAGAACGCGGGGGCUAAGCUCCGCGCUCGAGAGGGAAACAGCCCAGACCUUAAUCUAAGGUCCCUAAAUUCAGCUAAGUGCAAAUUAAGGAAGUGGAGUUCCACAGAUAGCUAGGAGGUUCGCUCAGAAGCAGCUAUCCUUUAAAAAGUGCGUAACAGCUUACUAGCUAAGGGAUUCUGCGCCGCAGAUUCAUCGGGGCUAAGCUGAAUACCGAAGAUAAGGCUUCCGCCGCAAGGCGGAGGGGUAGGGGAGCGUCUUCAUUGCGUUGAAGCCCCGUCGUAAGACGAGGUGGAGCGAUGAGGAGUGAGAGUGCUGGGAUGAGUAACCACAACCAGGGUGAGAGCCCCUGGCACCGAAAACCUGAGGUUUCCUUGGCAAUGAUAAUCAUCCAAGGGUUAGGCGGGCCUUAGGGAGAUAUCAAAUGGUAUCUUCUGAUGGACAGCCGGUUCAUAUUCCGGCCCCCCGCACUUUUCCGAAGAGCGACGCGACUUGGGACUCCGAGCGGAUUAUUGGAUUUCCGUUUCCGCAAGGACGAAGUCAGGACUACGGUUCUGGCGACUCGGACGAACAAGGAGCCCAGAAAAACUCUGAGGUUAUGAAGUGUUGGGUCCGUACCGCAAACCGACACAGGUGGGUUAGUAUAAAUGUACUAAGGUGAACGGGUGAAAGCUCCUGAAGGAACUAGGCAAAAAAGUGUCUGUAAGUUCGCGAUAAGGACUUCCCGCCGUUGAGGCGGGACGCAGCGAAAGUAUCCCUGGCGACUGUUUACCAAAAACACAGGUCUCUGCUCAACUCCAAAAGAGGAUGUAUAGGGGCUGACGCCUGACCAGUGCUGGAGUGUUAAAGGUGGCGGUUUUACCGCAAGGUAAGGCUGACUGCCCGAAGCCCCAGUGAACGUCCGCGGUAACUAUAACCGUGUUAAAGUAGCGUAAUCUCUUGCCUGGUAAGUUCAGGCCCGCACGAAAGGCGUCACGACUUGGGAACUGUCUCCAGGAGCUGCCCGGUGAAAAUGCAAUACCGGUGAAGAUGCCGGUUACCUGCGGCUAGACGGAAAGACCCCGGGAGCUUUACUGUAGCUUCUUAUUGUUUUAUCGUUUUGCAUGCGUAGCAUAGUGGGGAGGCUUUGAAGUCCGCCUUUCGGGGCGGGUGGAGCCAACAGUGAAAUACCCAUCUUGCGAAAUGAUAAAUCUAAUCCGCCUUGGGCGGAGACAGUGGGAGGCGGUCAGUUUUAGUGGGGCGCUAGCCUCCUAAAGAGUAGCGGAGGCGUUUAAAGGUCAGCUAGCUCCGGAUGGAAAUCGGAGCGGUCGUGUAAAGGCACAAGCUGGCUUAACUGCGAGACGGAUAUGUCGAGCAGAUGGGAAACCAGAACACCUCGAUGUCGGCUCAUCUUAUCCUGGGGCUGAAGAAGGUCCCAAGGGUCUGGCUGUUCGCCAGUUAAAAAGGUACGUGAGCUGGGUUCAAACCGUCGUGAGACAGGUUGGUCCCUUUCUACCGCAGGCGUCGAGUCUUGAGGAGAUUUAUCUCUAGUACGAGAGGACCGAGAUGAACGAACCUCUGGUGUACCAGUUGUCGUGCCAACGGCAUCGCUGGGUAGCUAUGUUCGGCUAGGAUAAGCGCUGAAAGCAUCUAAGCGCGAAGCCAACUCCAAGAUGAGGACUCAAAGAUCCCUCCGAGAUGAGGAGGUUGAUAGGCUCCAGAUGUAAGUCCCGCAAGGGAUUCAGUCGAGGAGUACUAAUGAAUUGGCGGAGGGUUUGAAGAUCAAAAGGGGCUUGGGCCAACGCGGCUCAAAGAGUAUCUUACGAAAUUCGGUUGGGGCUCUAAAACCGGGAUAGACCUGCCGGGUGAAGGGAAGGGUCUUGUUCCGGAUCCUGAAUGGA
rnacentral:rRNA from 1 species